AUUUUCCGCUGCAGAAUUAUGAAGGCUAGGACCGGAUGGUUGUCGGUGAAAUCUGAAAUCUGGGUCCUCGGAAAGAUCAAGUCAACUGUCCAACAAGCUGUAUUGUUGCAUGGGCUGGCUCACAAAUGGGAGUGCGGAACUAGAUUUGUUAAUUGUGACAUCUCAUGGAGGAUCUAUGUUUAGCUCUGGCUACAGUGAGCUGCAAUAGGAAUUCAAGUGGGGACUUUCGCAUAUUUUGAGCGGAUUAGACGAAACAGUGAGGUGCUAAUACAUUUACAUCCACGCAUGUGUUUUUUCUACGUGGUUUUGUCUAGUGAGAGUUGUACCAUAGAAUAUUAUUGAUUAAUGAUUAUGGGGAUUAUGAAUAAUAAUGUCUCACAAGUCUUAUACACAUAUUGGUUGGAGUUGGUGCACUGAAUCAUAUAUGGUGCAUCCCCGAGCUAGAAAAGCUUGGGUGAUUGCAGCUUGACAAAGUGGGCUGGUUCUUUGGAACAAGAGGUACGCUGUUUUGGUGCUAAGUGGUCUGCUGUGGGGACAGAUGCAGAUUCUAGGAUAGACAUGGUUGUUCAAUGUUCAAUGGUUUCUUGAUUUCUUUUCUUGCCAGUGGCAUCAACUUCCAUGUUUUUUCUUCCACUAAAUGAUGAUUAAGCCAUAGUUCAGAUCA